AAAAAUGUAACAGCAAUUAUUAACUCAACUUGAAUAAUGAAUAUUGAUAUAAACAUAAUAUUUACAUAUAUAACACCCUCCUAUAAGGAUUAAUAAGUACUGUAAUAGACAUGUAUUUUUUGUGUAAAUAUCUAUUAGUUUUUUUACCAAUGAUCAAGGUAUUAUUACACUAAUUGUGGUGAUAUUAAGGCUUCAAUAAAUCAGCUUCUUUGUGUACUGGUAAUGGAGAAUAAAACUAUUAUGUGUUUAUAAAAGGUAAUCUAACAAAACAUAAAAUUCAGACGGAAAUGGAGUAUAAGCUAUAAUGGAAAUUCAAGAUUACAUUCACACCUACGCAUUACAACUUUAAACAAGAUUUAAAUCACUUGUUUCAAUCACUUUCUGGCAGUUGACAUUACUAGGGGUGACAGCAUGUAGCUACUUACUGGUCACCCCUGUCGAUCGUCAUAAACGGGCCAUUCUUCGUCUUUUGC